AGGCAGAUGAGAUAUACAAAAUAUGUGGUGUGAUAGGCAAUCCAACCCAUGAAUCUUGGGAUGAUGGAUCAAGCUUGCAAGGGAUAUCAACUACCAAUUUCCACAGCUUGCUGGUGUGCAUCUUUCUGCACUGAUCCCGUCUGCGAGCGAUGAUGCAAUCAGCCUUAUCAAAUCACUUUGCUCCUGGGAUCCUGCAAGAGGCCAACAGCUUCUGAGGCCUUCAGGCAUCCUUUCUUUAGGAUGGUCUUUUAAACGAAGCUAAGGUUUGUG